rnacentral:rRNA from 1 species
AGGGAAUAUUAGUAAUGGGCGACAGCCUGAACUAGCAACGCCGCGUGUGCGAAGAAGGCCUUCGGGUUGUAAAGCACUUUUUGAGAGGAUGAGGAAGGACGGUACUCUCAGAAUAAGUCUCGGCUAACUACGUGCCAGCAGCCGCGGUAACACGUAGGAGGCGAACGUUAUCCGGAUUUACUGGGCGUAAAGCGCGUGUAGGUGGUUUGGUAAGUAGGGCGUGAAAGCUCCUGGCUCAACUGGGAGAGGCCGUUCUAAACUGCCGAACUAGAGGAUGGUAGAGGGAGGUGGAAUUCCGGGUGUAGCGGUGGAAUGCGCAGAUAUCCGGAGGAACACCAGUGGCGAAAGCGGCCUCCUGGACCAUUCCUGACACUCAGACGCGAAAGCUAGGGUAGCAAACGG